rnacentral:sRNA from 1 species
GCCUGGCAUGGUGCCACAUGCCUGUAAUCCCAGCAGCUUGGGAGGCUGAGGCAGGAGGAUCGCAAGUUCAAACACAGUCUCAGCAACUUAGCAAGGCACUAUGUAACUCAGCAAGACCCGGUCUCUA